CAGCCGCCGCGGUAAUACGAAGGGUGCAAGCGUUAAUCGGAAUUACUGGGCGUAAAGCGUGCGUAGGCGGUGAGUUAAGUCUGCUGUGAAAUCCCCGGGCUCAACCUGGGAAUGGCAGUGGAUACUGGCUCGCUAGAGUGUGGUAGAGGAUAGUGGAAUUUCCGGUGUAGCAGUGAAAUGCGUAGAGAUCGGAAGGAACAUCUGUGGCGAAGGCGACUAUCUGGGCCAACACUGACACUGAGGCACGAAAGCGUGGGGAGCAAACAGGAUUAGAUACCCCAGUAGUCCCUGUCUCUUAUAC
rnacentral:rRNA from 1 species